GAUGAACGCUGGCGGCGUGCCUAAUACAUGCAAGUCGAGCGAACAGACGAGGAGCUUGCUCCUCUGACGUUAGCGGCGGACGGGUGAGUAACACGUGGAUAACCUACCUAUAAGACUGGGAUAACUUCGGGAAACCGGAGCUAAUACCGGAUAAUAUAUUGAACCGCAUGGUUCAAUAGUGAAAGACGGUUUUGCUGUCACUUAUAGAUGGAUCCGCGCCGCAUUAGCUAGUUGGUAAGGUAACGGCUUACCAAGGCAACGAUGCGUAGCCGACCUGAGAGGGUGAUCGGCCACACUGGAACUGAGACACGGUCCAGACUCCUACGGGAGGCAGCAGUAGGGAAUCUUCCGCAAGGGGCGAAAGCCUGACGGAGCAACGCCGCGUGAGUGAUGAAGGUCUUCGGAUCGUAAAACUCUGUUAUUAGGGAGAACAAAUGUGUAAGUAACUAUGCACGUCUUGACGGUACCUAAUCAGAAAGCCACGGCUAACUACGUG
rnacentral:rRNA from 1 species